AUUGAACGCUGGCGGCAGGCCUAACACAUGCAAGUCGAACGGUAGCACAGAGAGCUUGCUCUCGGGUGACGAGUGGCGGACGGGCGAGUAACGUCUGGGAAACUGCCCGAUGGAGGGGGAUAACUACUGGAAACGGUAGCUAAUACCGGAUAACGUCGCAAGACCAAAGUGGGGGACCUUCGGGGCUCACACCAUCGGAUGUGCCCAGAUGGGAUGAGCUAGUAGGUGGGGUAAUGGCUCACCUAGGCGACGAUCCCUAGCUGGUCUGAGGGGAUGACCAGCCACACUGGAACUGAGACACGGUCCAGACUCCUACGGGGGGCAGCAGUGGGGAAUAUUGCACAAUGGGCGCAAGCCUGAUCCAGCCAUGCCGCGUGUGUGAAGAAGGCCUUAUGGUUGUAAAGCACUUUAAGCGAGGAGGAGGCUCUUUUGGUUAAUACCCAAGAUGAGUGGACGUUACUCGCAGAAUAAGCACCGGCUAACUCUGUGCCAGCAGCCGCCGCGG
rnacentral:rRNA from 1 species